rnacentral:rRNA from 1 species
AACCUCGAGUGCUGGGUUACAAACCUGGCUGUUGGGCUGCCUAAAAAGCAGUCUAUAUCAAGGGCCGGGCAAGACCGGUGCCAGCCGCCGCGGAAUUAAAAAGGGG